rnacentral:rRNA from 1 species
GACGGCGCACGGGUGCGUAACGCGUAUGCAAUCUGCCUUUCACAGAGGGAUAGCCCAGAGAAAUUUGGAUUAAUACCUCAUAGCAUUAUAGGAGGGCAUCCUUUUAUAAUUAAAGUCACAACGGUGAAAGAUGAGCAUGCGUCCCAUUAGCUAGUUGGUAAGGUAACGGCUUACCAAGGCGACGAUGGGUAGGGGUCCUGAGAGGGAGAUCCCCCACACUGGUACUGAGACACGGACCAGACUCCUACGGGAGGCAGCAGUGAGGAAUAUUGGUCAAUGGGCGCAAGCCUGAACCAGCCAUGCCGCGUGCAGGAUGACGGUCCUAUGGAUUGUAAACUGCUUUUGUACGGGAAGAAACACUGAUUCGUGAAUCAGCUUGACGGUACCGUAAGAAUAAGGAUCGGCUAACUCCGUGCCAGCAGCCGCGGUAAUACGGAGGAUCCAAGCGUUAUCCGGAAUCAUUGGGUUUAAAGGGUCCGUAGGCGGUCUUGUAAGUCAGUGGUGAAAGCCCAUCGCUCAACGGUGGAACGGCCAUUGAUACUGCAGGACUUGAAUUAUUGGGAAGUAACUAGAAUAUGUAGUGUAGCGGUGAAAU